GUAACCAAAUUGGCUACAUAGCCUUAUUUAUAGAGUUUUUGAGCGUUCUGGCCUCCCGGCCACUAGGGGGGCUUCUAGAUUUUUUUGCCUAUGCUUUGGCUGCAUACAGGAGGUUUAAAGAGAGAGAGAGUUGAUGGGUGAACACAUUGCACUCUGUACUGCGUCUCCCUGGGAGGAAACCUCAUGGUUUCAUGCCUUCUAGGGAGUUUAUGUAUGUCCACAAAUCCCUGUGACUUUGAGACCCCAAGAGGAGUCAAGCCUGAAGCAAGGACUUAUCAACCUCUGUCAGCAGACAACCACUAGAAAGACUGUUCACCCGCUCUAAACCCUGCUAAGGACUCUGGCUGGACUAGUGGGACUAUUUGAAUCCAUUGACUAAUAGACGGUCCAUUCUUCAAAGAACGAAUUAAGGGACUCCUUUCAUUGUUUAUGUCCAUGAUGGUGUAUAUGUGGGUUUGGGUGGUUUGGAUAAAUGGUGUUUCAUACUUAAA